ACAACUUUUUGUAAAGCUGUUGACGCACUUCUGGAAGUUAAAGAUGAAGCUAGCUUAAUCUUGCCAUCAUCAACUUGGUUAAAUUUGCCCCUUGCCCCACAGGCAGCUAAAAUGGC
rnacentral:sRNA from 1 species